GCAGGUGACGCUGACGGCAACACUGUCGUCUGCGUUGUUUGAUGAUCUGUUCCGUUUUUCAUGGUGUAAAUAAAUGUAAUUUACAAUGUCUGGCGUGAGAAAUAAAGUAAGCAUCCUCGACCGACCAAUAACAAAGAUAAAGACUGACAUUCACAUAAGUUUAUUUGGAUUGCUAUUCUCGGAGAUCGUACAAUAUUGUCAAAACCGUGUAUACACCAUUCCUGAACUACAGACAAGGCUGUCUGAGUUGGGGUUUCACGUAGGUCAGAGAGUACUCGACCUCAUAUACGUACGAGAGAAAAACUACAAGCGUGAGACAAAGCUACUGCACGUUCUGCUCUUCAUCAAAUCUUCAGUCUGGAAGACUUUAUUCGGCAAAGAAGCUGACAAGUUGGAACAAGCUAACGACGACGACAAGACCUAUUACUUGAUUGAAAAGGAGCCGCUUGUCAGCAAGUUCAUCUCUGUACCUAAGGACCGAGGAAACCUCAACUGUGCCUCUUUUGUGGCAGGCAUCAUCGAAGCUGUCCUCUUAGGAUGCAACUUUCCAGCAAAAGUUACAGCACACUGGUACAAAGGUACAACAUUCAUGAUCAAGUUCGAAGACUCCGUGAUCGCCAGGGACAAGUCACUGGAAACACGAUAAGGGAAUGAAGGAGCAUGCACUGAAUGUCGGGUCUUCAUCCGUGUCGUGGCAAGAUAUACAGUUGUCACCGGCAUCAAGGUCAAAGCGGGAGGAAAGAAAAGCAAAACAAGAGGCAGGAACACUUCCUCCUCUCCCAGCAUCUUCCUUGCGGUAAUCAAGCAGGCGGGGUAAAGCGGAAUUUUUACUAUUUUUUUUACUAUUUCUGUUGUGACACUGUGCAUAGUUUUUGUUGGGUCUGUGGUUAUUUGUGGAGGACUUCAUAUUUGUGUUAAACAAAAGUGAGGUCCGUUUCACAAUUUUUAGAGUUCAAUUGAAAAAAUAAAUUUCACUUUACGUGAAACACCCUGUAUUUUCAUAGUGUUGUUUUGCUCAGUGCGGUCAAACACACGUGAAGCAAUGUUUCUCAUAAAGGUAACUCCGGGUCUGCGGUGAAACUAGUUUCCCGCUGGACACUGCAUGCAAAUUGUAGGAGACGAUAGAAGUGUUUGAGUUUUUGCUCAGCAUGGCUGAUGUGGAAGUAGUCCUGUGAUUAUCUUUUGAGCAGUCUUCCAGUAUUUGCACAGCCAUCUUCCUGUUAUUAUUGUGAUACACAGUUGCAGGGGAAAUCUUCUUGGGGAGCUUGUGUUUGGACACCAUUGGAUACUACUAAAUGUCACGCUUUUACUUAACACUAAAUGUCAUGAAUGGAGCACGCUGUAGGAGGAAAGAGGCGGCAUGAGUAAUAAAUCACCAUAACUUAACUUUAUUA